GAGUUUGAUCAUGGCUCAGAACGAACGCUGGCGGCAGGCCUAACACAUGCAAGUCGAACGCUGUAGCAAUACAGAGUGGCAGACGGGUGAGUAAUGCUUCGGAAUCUUCCUCGUAGUGGGGAAUAACCUGGGGAAACUCAGGCUAAUACCGCAUACGAACUACGGUUGAAAGCAGGGGAUCGCAAGACCUUGCGCUAUGAGAUGAGCCGAAGUCGGAUUAGCUAGUUGGUGAGGUAACGGCUCACCAAGGCGACGAUCCGUAGCUGGUCUGAGAGGACGACCAGCCACACUGGGACUGAGACACGGCCCAGACUCCUACGGGAGGCAGCAGUGGGGAAUAUUGGACAGUGGGGGCAACCCUGAUCCAGCGACGCCGCGUGUGUGAAGAAGGCCUGCGGGUUGUAAAGCACUUUUAGUGGGGAUGAAAAGCCGAAGGCUAAUACCUUUCGGUCUUGACCUAACCAAAGAAAAAGCACCGGCUAACUCUGUGCCAGCAGCCGCGGU
rnacentral:rRNA from 1 species